rnacentral:tRNA from 1 species
GCCCGUGUGACGGAAUGGUAGACGUAGCGGACUUAAAAUCCGCGGGCCUUUUGCGGCCUUGGGAGUUCGAGUCUCCCCAUGGGUA